rnacentral:lncRNA from 1 species
GCCGUAUUGUCCAGGCUGGUUGGCUAAUUAGGCAGCUCCCUGCACCCAAGCGCUCUCUGCCACCGAGCCGCUGCCUGCAUCAGUCAUUUAGCAUUUAACGAGGGCUCAGAUCUCGCAAGACAGCCCUGCCAGGCGGCCUUUGAUGUCCGCUCAUUUGCUGGCAGUGAUUGUCGGCGUUUGGAGGCCGGGAGAUUCUGCUAGCACCCCUGUGACAAAGGCUUUGCCUUUGAAAAGAGCCAUAAUGCAGAUCCCUUGCCAGAAUGAGAAGGAAAGGGAGAGAGGCAUGGUUGGCCCAUGUGGCGCGAUUUCCCACCAGGAAGGGGGGAGUGCUCCGUCGCAAGAGAGGCUCCUGAUUCCCACGAGGCUGCUGCAUUCUCCAGCCAGAUGGAAGCUGAGUGGCCAGCAGCAGCAUUUGGCUGUGCCCAUUGACCUUCCCACUGGGAGACUCUUGAACCCCCUCCUGCCCACUGCCGUGGAAGAGCAGCAGAGGCUCUGGCAAAGGCCUUUGCCCUCAUGGCAAUGGCUUGUGUCUUGGAUCGCUCCUGGGAGUGAGCGGUUGAGGGAGACUGGCAACAACGCCUUGCCCAAAACGUGUCCACUUGUCAGGAAUGAGCCAGCUCCCAGUGAAGGUUUGCAGCCAAUGGAAGAAAGCAGCCAGGAACAGAAAGAGUUAACUUUCAUGCAGGAUGAACAGCAACUAGUGCCAACUCUCCCGUCCUUGGAAUGCCGGGUGAUAAGGGAACGGCUGAGAGCGGGCGGGAACCCAGCCAAAGCUCUCAGGAAGUUCAGACAGGCGCGAACAGUGAUGGAAGUAUUUUGUCGGAAAGGGAGGAGGGGGGGAGCUGAUCCAAUCCCUCCUCAGAGUCGGCUAAGGGGAGUGCUGUUGGACCGGAAACAAAGCAAGCAACGUAAGAUGCGAAAGUUCUCCAUUUUCAGUAGAAACCGGAAGCGGUCUUCAGAAGGGUCAUCUUGACUGAUGUCUGCGGCUGUAUUAGAGCUGUCUGGAGCUAUCUGUUUGUUUUGAC